UUAAGGCAGGCGAGAAACCUGCCCGCCGAUAGACCAAGGGUUCCUGAUCAACGUUAAUCGGAUCAGGGUCAGUCGGGUCCUAAGGGUACCCCGAAAGGGGAAACCGAUGGCAAACUGGUUAAUAUUCCAGUACCCGCACCGGCUGCGAAGGGGUCACGGAGAAGUGGAAGGACCGCGCACUGACGGAAUAGUGCGUUAAAGGGCGUAGAUAUAUCCCGGGUAGGCAAAUCCGCCCGGGAUGUCGAACCUGACAGUACGGCAAUGCUUCGGCGGCGCCGAUAGCGUCCCUAAUCAUACUCCCUAGAAACCCCCCUAAGCUCCAGGCCGGUUGCGGUCCGUACCGCAAACCGACACAGGUGGUCAAGGAGAGAAUCCUGAGGCGCUCGGAUGAAUCACGGUUAAGGAACUCGGCAAAUUAGCCCCGUAACUUCGGGAAAAGGGGCGCCAGCAGCAAUGCUGGCCGCAGAAAAAUGGCUCAGGCGACUGUUUAUCAAAAACACAGGGCUCUGCAAAAUCGCAAGAUGAAGUAUAGGGCCUGACACCUGCUCGGUGCCGGAAGGUUAAGAGGAGAGGUUAGCGCAAGCGAAGCUUUGAAUCGAAGCCCCGGUAAACGGCGGCCGUAACAAUAACGGUCCUAAGGUAGCGAAAUUCCUUGUCGGGUAAGUUCCGACCUGCACGAAUGGUGUAACGAUCUGAGCACUGUCUCAACCGUGAGUCCGGUGAAAUUGUAGUAUCGGUGAAGAUGCCGGUUACCCGCUACGGGACGGAAAGACCCCGUGAACCUUCACUAUAGCUUUACAUUGACAUUUGACAAAAGAUGUGUAGGAUAGGUGGGAGGCUUCGAAGCGGUUUCGCCAGGAAUCGUGGAGCCACCGUUGAAAUACCACCCUUCGUUUGUCGGGUGUCUAACGUCGCGGUGCGACAGACAGUGUAUGGCGGGUAGUUUGACUGGGGUGGUCGCCUCCAAAAAAGUAUCGGAGGCUUUCAAAGGUACCCUCAGCACGCUUGGUAACCGUGCGCAGAGUGCAAUGGCAUAAGGGUGCUUGACUGCGAGACCAACAAGUCGAGCAGGGACGAAAGUCGGGCAUAGUGAUCCGGCGGUUCCGUAUGGAAGGGCCGUCGCUCAAAGGAUAAAAGGUACUCCGGGGAUAACAGGCUGAUCACUCCCAAGAGCUCACAUCGACGGAGUGGUUUGGCACCUCGAUGUCGGCUCGUCACAUCCUGGGGCUGGAGAAGGUCCCAAGGGUUAGGCUGUUCGCCUAUUAAAGUGGCACGCGAGCUGGGUUCAGAACGUCGUGAGACAGUUCGGUCCCUAUCUGUAGCGGGCGUUGGAAAAUUGCGGAGAGCUGACCCUAGUACGAGAGGACCGGGUCGGACGUACCUCCGGUGUACCUGUUGUCUCGCCAGAGGCACCGCAGGGUAGCCGCGUACGGAACGGAUAAGCGCUGAAAGCAUCUAAGCGCGAAGCCGACUCCAAGAUGAGUUUUCCUUAUCAGGGCCGUGGAAGAUCACCACGUCGAUAGGCCACAGGUGUAAAGGCGGUAACGUCAAAGCCGAGUGGUACUAAUUGCCCG
rnacentral:rRNA from 1 species